AGUGAACGCUGGCGGUAGGCCUAACACAUGCAAGUCGAACGGCAGCACAGUAAGAGCUUGCUCUUACGGGUGGCGAGUGGCGGACGGGUGAGGAAUACAUCGGAAUCUACUUUUUCGUGGGGGGUAACGUAGGGAAACUUACGCUAAUACCGCAUACGACCUACGGGUGAAAGCAGGGGAUCUUCGGACCUUGCGCGAUUGAAUGAGCCGAUGUCGGAUUAGCUAGUUGGCGGGGUAAAGGCCCACCAAGGCGACGAUCCGUAGCUGGUCUGAGAGGAUGAUCAGCCACACUGGAACUGAGACACGGUCCAGAGUCCUACGGGAGGCAGCAGUGGGGAAUAUUGGACAAUGGGCGCAAGCCUGAUCCAGCCAUACCGCGUGGGUGAAGAAGACCUUCGGGUUGUAAAGCCCUUUUGUUGGGAAAGAAAGGCAGCAGGUUAAUACCCCGCUGUUCUGACGGUACCCAAAGAAUAAGCACCGGCUAACUUCGUG
rnacentral:rRNA from 1 species